rnacentral:rRNA from 1 species
UACGUAGGGGGCAAGCGUUGUCCGGAAUUAUUGGGCGUAAAGAGCGUGUAGGCGGUCCGGUAAGUCAGCUGUGAAAGUCAAGGGCUCAACCCUUGAAAGCCGGUUGAUACUGUCGGGCUAGAGUCCGGAAGAGGCGAGUGGAAUUCCCGGUGUAGCGGUGAAAUGCGCAGAUACCGGGAGGAACACCAAUGGCGAAGGCAGCUCGCUGGGACGGUACUGACGCUGAGACGCGAAAGCGUGGGGAGCAAACAGG